rnacentral:rRNA from 1 species
GAUGAACGCUGGCGGUGUGCCUAAUACAUGCAAGUCGAGCGGUAAGGCCUCUUCGGAGGUACACGAGCGGCGGACGGCUGAGUAACGCGUAGGAACGUACCCCAAACUGAGGGAUAAGCUCUGGAAACAGAGUCUAAUACCGCAUGUGCUCUUCGGAGUAAAGCUACAGCGGUUUGGGAACGGCCUGCGUAAGAUUAGCUUGUUGGUGAGGUAAUGGCUCACCAAGGCGACGAUCUUUAGCUGGUCUGAGAGGAUGAUCAGCCAGACUGGGACUGAGACACGGCCUAGACUCCUACAGGAGGCAGCAGUAGGGAAUUUUCCACAAUGGGGGCAACCCUGAUGGAGCAACGCCGCGUGCAGGAUGAAGGCCUUCGGGUUGUAAACUGCUUUUAUAUGUGACGAAUAUGACGGUAGCAUAUGAAUAAGGAUCGGCUAACUCCGUGCCAGCAGCCGCCGUAAAAC